rnacentral:piRNA from 1 species
CUCAUCUUUGGUGUGUUUCAUGCAUGUUUU